UACGUAGGCAGCGAGCGUUGUUCGGAGUUACUGGGCGUAGAGGGUGCGUAGGCGGUUGUUUAAGUUUGGUGUGAAAUCUCCCGGCUCAACUGGGAGGGUGCGCCGAAUACUGAAUGACUAGAGUGCGGGAGAGGAUAGUGGAAUUCCUGGUGUAGCGGUGAAAUGCGUAGAUAUCAGGAGGAACACCGGUGGUGUAGACGGCUAUCUGGACCGUAACUGACGCUGAGACACGAAAGCGUGGGUAGCAAACAGG
rnacentral:rRNA from 1 species